rnacentral:rRNA from 1 species
AGUGAACGCUGGCGGUAGGCCUAACACAUGCAAGUCGAACGGCAGCACAGUAAGAGCUUGCUCUUACGGGUGGCGAGUGGCGGACGGGUGAGGAAUACAUCGGAAUCUACUUUUUCGUGGGGGCUAACGUAGGGAGACUUACGCUAAUACCGCAUACGACCUACGGGUGAAAGCAGGGGAUCUUCGGACCUUGCGCGAUUGAAUGAGCCGAUGUCGGAUUAGCUAGUUGGCGGGGUAAAGGCCCACCAAGGCGACGAUCCGUAGCUGGUCUGAGAGGAUGAUCAGCCACACUGGAACUGAGACACGGUCCAGACUCCUACGGGAGGCAGCAGUGGGGAAUAUUGGACAAUGGGCGCAAGCCUGAUCCAGCCAUAGCGCGUGGGUGAAGAAGGCCUUCGGGUUGUAAAGCCCUUUUGUUGGGAAAGAAAAGCAGCAGGUUAAUACCCCGCUGUUCUGACGGUACCCAAAGAAUAAGCAUCGGCUAACUUCGUG